CCUACGGGUGACAGCAGUGAGGAAUAUUGGUCAAUGGACGCAAGUCUGAACCAGCCAUGCCGCGUGCAGGAAGACGGCUCUAUGAGUUGUAAACUGCUUUUGUACGAGGGUAAACCCCGAUACGUGUAUCGGGUUGAAAGUAUCGUACGAAUAAGGAUCGGCUAACUCCGUGCCAGCAGCCGCGGUAAUACGGAGGAUCCGAGCGUUAUCCGGAUUUAUUGGGUUUAAAUGGUGCGUAGGCGGUUCGAUAAGUUAGAGGUGAAAUGUCGGGGCUCAACCCCGGAACUGCCUCUGAUACUGUUGGGCUAGAGAAUAGUUGCGGUAGGCGGAAUGUAUGGUGUAGCGGUGAAAUGCAUAGAGAUCAUACAGAACACCGAUUGCGAAGGCAGCUUACCAAACUAUGUCUGACGUUGAGGCACGAAAGCGUGGGGAGCAAACAGGAUUAGAUACCCGGGUAGUC
rnacentral:rRNA from 1 species